UACGAAGGGGGCUAGCGUUGCUCGGAAUCACUGGGCGUAAAGGGCGCGUAGGCGGCCCGUUAAGUCGAACGUGAAAUCCCCAGGCUCAACCUGGGAACUGCGUCCGAUACUGGCGGGCUUGAAUCCGGGAGAGGGAUGCGGAAUUCCAGGUGUAGCGGUGAAAUGCGUAGAUAUCAUGAGGAACACCAGAGGCGAAGGCGACCACCUGGACUGAUACUGACACUGAGGUGCGAAAGCGUGGGGAGCAAACAGG
rnacentral:rRNA from 1 species